UGGCUUGGGAGCUCUGUAGCUAGAAGAUAUAGUGGCGGGGUGCAGCACGUGACAUUGCAGAAGAGAAAUUUGCACUUAGGGUUGUCAUAUGGUGUGUGGAUAUGGUGUCCAUAAACCCUGAGGGUAAGAAUGAUAAAAAACCCUGUUUUGUUGUAUUGCAGGGGAGAAUUCUCCCAUUAACUUUGGUUUGAUUGCAUAUAAACAUGGCACGCAGGCGGCAGAGUGCUUGUUUCCAGAAAUCCCUGGCUGAGCAUUGCUGUAUCUGCUGCCAAGUGAGGUAGGUUACAUGGCUGGGAGCAGAGUAGCCUCAGCCAUGGAUGGCAGCCUGCAAAGACCACUGUCUGGUGCCAGGGUUACGGGUAUGUAAAGGGAGGCAAGUGUGCCCAUUACACUCUUCCUCACCAGCCGAGUGUGAUCUGCUAUUCUCCCUCCCUCUAUCUCUGUCCUUCCUCCAUUUGGAUCAAGCUCCAGCUCCAAACGCCUUUCAGCAGCUUUCUCUUUAUCACACUGAUACACUCUCGUACCAAGAAUAUAAACACACUGACUCGCUCACACACAAAUUCUCAGCCUUCAAUCCAUCCGAUGCUGUACAGACAAAUCAACAGUUGGAGCCAGAGGCUUGCUGCCCAUCUGGUCGGCCAUUUCCAGCCGGUCCCAGCGUGCAAAUAAAAAAAAAAAAAAGAGAGAGAAAACCAUCUAAUCCCCAUCCUGACUUAGAAGUAGAGGGUCUGAUAGUUUCCCCCAGUCAAAGUCAAGGAUGGCAAAUACAUCUGUGUCCCCAAACUCUCUAAUCUCUCUCCCUUUCAUUCUGCUUUGCUUUUUCUCACUCUUUGUCUCACACUCACCCACACACCUCGCCUUUUCUCUCUCUCUCUCUCUCUCUCUCUCUCUCAGUCAGAAAGUAUAUAUCCUGUGGAGGUUUCAUUGUACUAAAUCCAAGGGGGGGAAGGCCCACUUUGCAGACACAGCAGCAGCUGAUGUACUGUACUCCGCAGUGAUUAGUGGGAGACUGGCUCGCUGCAACUGUCAAGGCGAGGGCCGAAAGACCUGGCAAUUGUGUCAAACAUUGGAGCAGAUUGCAAAGUGCACUUUAAAAGCACUUCUUCAUUUAUGCUGGAGAUGAUUUGGCUCAAAUCCAAAGUUGUUAGUGAUGCGGCACUUUUUUUUUCUUUUUUUUUUUUUUGCUGGCCUAGUUUGCACUCAUGGAGGAAUGAAUCAUAAACAAAGCCUUGUUGUGAAGAUGAUAAGGCUUUUAUUGCAGAAUGUAAUAUUGUGCUAUCCAGAUUCUCUUUGCCUUCUGGCAGUGGCAAAAUAUGUGGCUAAAUAAAACUCACUUUGGCUUACACACUCAUAAUUCUGUUAAGGGGAAAAAAAUAAACAUGAAUGCGUUACCAAGAGCAGCAACAAUGUCAGCAAUUUUAGCAAUAAGCUCUACUGCAUAAGAGAGUUACUUAUAUGGCUACAGAACACCUUACCUGUCUUGUGAUUUUAUUCAAGGAAGGUUGGCUGGAGAGGCACACGUUUCUUUUAUUCACACGUUUCUUUUAUGUAGCUACAAAACACAGCGCUUCACACCUGGGAGCAUCAUUCUAUAGCCAUUGUUUUCAGUAGCUGGCCAAUGAGCAGCUCCAGUGGAGCAGUGGGAGGUUAAUUGGAUAGCUCAAGGGCAUUUUGAUCUUUGUUGUCAUGGGAGCGCACAUAGGUAGUUGUUCUCCUUCCCUAAUCAAAUUUUAAAGCAGGUUUGAAAAGCCGACCUUCCAACAAAGGCCUUCUUCCUUUCUGACCCAUAUGCUGUAAAUGCUGCACAUACAGCAGAUUUGUAUGCCAGAGCAAGAAAUGAGCACCUGUUUGAAUUAGACACAAAUUUAAAUGUCAUCACCUUCUUCGAUUUGAGCAGCGAAGUUGUUGCUUUGGCU
ensembl:lncRNA